rnacentral:rRNA from 1 species
GAUGAACGCUAGCUACAGGCUUAACACAUGCAAGUCGAGGGACCGGCGCACGGGUGAGUAACACGUAUCCAACCUGCCCUUUACUCGGGGAUAGCCUUUCGAAAGAAAGAUUAAUACCCGAUAUAAAGGAUGGGGAUGCGUUCCAUUAGGUUGUUGGUGAGGUAACGGCCCACCAAGCCUUCGAUGGAUAGGGGUUCUGAGAGGAAAGUCCCCCAGAUUUGAACCGGGACCCCGGCCCAACUCCUACCGGAGGCAGGCAUUAGGAAUAAUUGGCAAUGGGCCUUUGCCCUAACCAGCCAAUGAGCCUGAAGGAAGAAGGCCUUUGGGUCGUAAACUUCUUUUAUAUAAGAAUAUGUAUUAUAUGAAUAAGGAUCGGCUAACUCCGUGCCAGCAGCCGCGGUAAUAC